CWCGGSGKCUUACACAUGCAGUCGACGGUAAGGCCCUUCGGGGUACACGAGUGGCGAACGGGUGAGUAACACGUGGGUGACCUGCCCUGUACUUCGGGAUAAGCCUGGGAAACUGGGUCUAAUACCGGAUAUGACCUUCUCCUGCAUGGGGGUUGGUGGAAAGCUUUUGCGGUACAGGAUGGGCCCGCGGCCUAUCAGCUUGUUGGUGGGGUAAUGGCCUACCAAGGCGACGACGGGUAGCCGGCCUGAGAGGGCGACCGGCCACACUGGGACUGAGACACGGCCCAGACUCCUACGGGAGGCAGCAGUGGGGAAUAUUGCACAAUGGGCGGAAGCCUGAUGCAGCGACGCCGCGUGAGGGAUGACGGCCUUCGGGUUGUAAACCUCUUUCAGUAGGGACGAAGCGCAAGUGACGGUACCUACAGAAGAAGCACCGGCCAACUACGUGCCAGCAGCCGCGGUAAUACGUAGGGUGCGAGCGUUGUCCGGAUUUACUGGGCGUAAAGAGCUCGUAGGCGGUUUGUCACGUCGUCUGUGAAAACCCGAGGCUUAACCUCGGGCCUGCAGGCGAUACGGGCAGACUUGAGUACUGUAGGGGAGACUGGAAUUCCUGGUGUAGCGKAAAWKGKGSKWGAGAA
rnacentral:rRNA from 1 species